GUCAGGCUACUUUUCAGUCCUCCAAAAUGGAGGAACUUAAUUGCUGCUGAUGUGGGAAGGGGCAAACCAAGUCCUACACAGGAGCUGAGGAAAUACUAUUAGGAAGUGAAAUUGCAGCCUCAUCCACUUCUACAGCUCCCAGGAAGGCUGUUUGUGGAUCAGUCCCAGGAUCUGCCACAGAAGACACCACCAGCUUGUUAUUAAGAAAAAUUAGCCCACGGAAAGCAUCUCAAAAGCUUAAAAUUGAGGGAUGUUCUGCAGUCGUGAUGUCUGCUUUGGGGAAAUCAAAGAUUUUGCCCAAGUAUUCCUUUGGAAAAAAGGGCUACACCAGACAUAUUCAAAACUGCCAAUUAAGAGGGUGUUUUCUACCCAAGUGUGGGGCUUGCCAACUCAGCUGCACCACACAGGGAAUGUACCUUCCUUUCCUGUAUGAAGGAACAGGGGCUCAGCUAGGCCCCCAAAGGGCAACCACUGCCUUGGGAAUCCUGCAUCUUUUGAUUCUCAGUAGGAGACAUCUCUGAGUAGGAUUUCAUGGCAGCUGCUUCCAAUUUAAGUUUUCUUACCCUUCUGUCCCAAAUCCUCUGUUGUAGGGAUACAUCCUUCUUCCGCCCCCAGCCAGAGGCUUCAGCUGAUCUGCUCUCUGCAGUGCUGGCCAGGUCUUCACCUCAGAUUCCACUGCUUUUCAGAAGUUGGUGUAGACAUCAGGCUGGAUGCAGUGCAGGGGGCUGGAUGGAGUCCACACGCUGUCGUAGGCACCUGUGUUUAUCCUGAUGGGGUAAAGGAGCAAUCCAACACAAGACCAAUGCCCCAAGGCUAUGGGCACUGCAGACAGACCUUCACCCAUCAGUAGUGCUAAUGCUAGAGUAUGGGAGAGAAUAUGCAAGGAAAAGUCAGUCUGAAGAGCCACAUCAUCAACCAGGUGCAUUGGAAUAGUUUUCGCAACCUCAGGGAUGCAUAUAAAGCUGAUAAAUAAGCCCCAAAUUCUUCCAGCAAACAGAAGAAGAUUGAAAAAAUAUAGCUCAAGGAAAGAAGCUCUUUUGUCAUUUCUCAUCCUGAGUGUAGUGAACUGUGGCACUCUUUGAUGUAAGACCUUGCAGAUAUCAUAAGUUUGCAUGGACUGCAAUGGUGACUGGAGAAAUAUUUGUGAAAUAAAUCCAUUGAGC
ensembl:lncRNA